GGAUAUAGCCCAGUUGGUAGAGUGCUUGCCUUGCAUACACAAUGCCCUGGGGUUCAAUCCCCAGUACCA
rnacentral:tRNA from 1 species